GCAUGCGCAGUAAACAAAGCCGGGACAAAAUGGCCGACUACAAGAAAGAGCGAGAGAAAGAAAGAGAGGGAUACAGGGACCGCUCAAGAUCUCCUCACAAGAAGCACUCGGCCACUGAGCCCUCCAGCAAAGGAAAGAAGUCAAGAAGAAGAUCCAAUAGAUCUUCAUCCCCUCCCUCCCCCGAGUCUGCCUCUUCCUAUUCCUCCUCAGAAAGUGAAAGAGACUCGUCUAGCGAAGAGAGUAAAACCCAUAGCAAACAGUCAAGACAUUCUUCGUCCUCAGAUCAUAAGGGAUGCCUUUAUCGUUUCAUCUCUCACUACUAUCAAUGGCGUCAAUCUCCCUGUGUUUGCCUACGGCUGAGGUACUGAUAGAAGGAGAAAGGGAAGAGCAAGAAGAAGGCAAAGAAAGAAAAGAAGAAGAAAAGGAAACACUCGGAAAAAGGACCUGUCCAACUAUCAAAGUUUGUUAAAGAAGAGAAAGGCAGGAGUGCUGUGUCUGGUCGGGUUAUAAAGAUGAAAGUAAAGAAAUCAAAAGAUGACAAGGCGAGAGACAUCAACAGAAAGAAGCUGUUAGAAUUCUUGAAUGCAUCCAUGUGACAUUGACGCAACUACAUAUACAUGUUGUUUUAGUAUUUAUAAAAACAUUGACAUCCA